GGUUUCAUCGUAUAACGGUUAGUACAUAAGAUUCUGAUCCGAUUGGAUAGUUCUUGUAAUCUGGGUUCGAUUCCCAGUGAGACCU